CAUUAGUCUAUCUGUUAUAUAUUUAUCUUUUAAUAUUAUAUUGUUAUUAUAAUAUAAUAUUUAUGGCGUUGUUGUAAGAGAAUUAAAGCAUUAAAUGAAAUCCGUCAAUGUAAGGGAAAAUGAGGUUUUUCUAUGGUCUAUAACGAAAGACGUGUUCAAUGUAUCGGAGCGACGAUUUGCUAAGCCUUGACGAGCGUUCUGGAAGGUUGUUGCGUGUUGUUUCCCAACUGUGAGAAAGGUUCUAAUAAUAGUUAUAAAAUGAAAGCUGAGAAAAAACGUAUUAUAUAUACAUCCUUUCUUAACCUAUAAAUUGUAAUACAAAGAGAAUAUUAAAACUACAACUGUGAUAAAUAAGAUGGUAUUAAAAAUCCGGUUUUUUAAUUGUAAACUUUACGACACAGUGAACUUCGCUCUUGCUAACUUUCAUCAUCACGUUUCCAAACAAAAAUAAAAAUUUGUGGAUGAGCACUUAACAAAAAAGUAUACAUACAUGCAUUGCAUAUAAAAAAUACAUAUUUGAAUCCGGAUUUGUCCUGUUGAACUUUGAAAUUGGCUAAACGCAGUUAAAAACAUGUUAUUCAAAUUCUAGAGCCGUCUUCAGUAACUUGAAGUUACAAAAGAUAUACAACUAACUCAUUUUUCUGUUUUCCCGCUGGAACAACUACAAUAAAAUUUGGAAUUAAUUUCAUUGGUGAUAUUUAUUUACAUACGAAUUUUCUCGUUCGUAGUAUGUUUACUAUUAAGAGUAGCUUAGUAGUAUAUGUAAAGAUUAUUUUUGACUACAGGUAUAUAUAGUUUUUUCUUUAUAUAAAUUGCACAAUCAAGAGACUAAAAACAUUUUAAAUUCAAAACAUCGUGUACCAGGCGACCAUAAAGAGGAGGAUACUUUUAAUAUUUCAUUGUAGAGUUCCUCACCCUCUCAUCAUGCGCAGUACAAUCUGCGCAAUUCUAAGGUCGAAUAAAGUAAGCCCAUUUUAUUAAGAGACAUAUUUUAGUCCUUCGAAUAUGAAUAUAUAAGUUAUACAAUGUCAUCAUUGGGUUUAAUAGUUUCUAAAUGCUUUAAGAAGUAAUAUUAUUCUCU